rnacentral:sRNA from 1 species
AAAAAUUCCCGCCUGAGCGGGAAU